rnacentral:rRNA from 1 species
UGGGGAAUAUUGCACAAUGGGAGCAAGCCUGAUGCAGCCAUGCCGCGUGUAUGAAGAAGGCCUUCGGGUUGUAAAGUACUUUCAGCGAGGAGGAAGGCAUUAAGGUUAAUAACCUUGGUGAUUGACGUUACUCGCAGAAGAAGCACCGGCUAACUCCGUGCCAGCAGCCGCGGUAAUACGGAGGGUGCAAGUGUUAAUCGGAAUUACUGGGCGUAAAGCGCACGCAGGCGGUCUGUCAAGUCGGAUGUGAAAUCCCCGGGCUCAACCUGGGAACUGCAUUCGAAACUGGCAGGCUAGAGUCUUGUAGAGGGGGGUAGAAUUCCAGGUGUAGCGGUGAAAUGCGUAGAGAUCUGGAGGAAUACCGGUGGCGAAGGCGGUCCCCUGGACAAAGACUGACGCUCAGGUGCGAAAGCGUGGGGAGCAAACAG